CGCAGAAGCAGUUCCAAUAGUUUCCAAACCCGGAAGACGGUCAGCCAAUCAGAGGGCCGCUGUGGUUCCAAUAUGGAGAAUCAGACUUUGUGGUGACUUCUGUCAUCCAAUCAGAGGCCGGAUUUGUUCCAAUAUUCCUCCAGGACCCUCCCCUGUCACUGGAACCUGCUGAACGGUGCGGACGUCUCCUUCAGACCAGAUCUUCCCUCCAAGACUUCUGAGGAGCCCUGGGAUGAAGAGCUGGUUUCUGUCUGGGUGUUUAGGAGCUCCCAGGGGCACAUGGGAAGUUCUGUGUGACGAGUCUUUACAUCAGGACGAGAGGAAACAACCUGGUCAGGUUGUGUAACCGAUGUUAUAAAUGUCAGUGUUGGUUCCACCACCUCCACCAGAGGUGCUGUCACACUCACAUCCUCAACUACCUCCAUUUCUGCUGCUGCUUUGUCCAGUGUGGGCUAAAGAAGAUCAAGGAGACAGACACAGAGACGUAAAGAGGACUGGUAGGAGCCUGAACUACUUUCCUGCUGCAAAAGAACAGGACCCACAUGAACGGACGGCCUCAAUCACCUGAAACAGAGCUGUGCUCCUCCAACUCCUCCACUGGUUGUUAAACAGGCUGCUCCUCAAGUACAGUUUCUGUGACUGAGGUUGUUGUGAAGUGUGAACACUCAGUAAACUCUAUACAUUCUCGAA